rnacentral:rRNA from 1 species
ACGGAGGGUGCAAGCAUUGAUCGGAAUUACUGGGCGUAAAGGGCGCGUAGGCGGUUAUAAAAGUCGGAUGUGAAAUUCCGGGGCUCAACCCCGGAGCUGCAUUUGAAACUCUAUAGCUAGAGUUCAGUUAGGGUAAACGGAAUUCCACGUGUAGCGGUGAAAUGCGUAGAUAUGUGGAAGGACACCGGUGGUGAAGACGGUUUACUGGGCUGAUACUGACGCUGAGGCGCGAAAGCAUGGGGAGCAAACAGGA